rnacentral:rRNA from 1 species
CACUCCUGCGGGAGGCAGCAGUGGGGAAUAUUGGACAAUGGGCGCAAGCCUGAUCCAGCCAUGCCGCGUGAGUGAUGAAGGCCCUAGGGUUGUAAAGCUCUUUCACCGGUGAAGAUAAUGACGGUAACCGGAGAAGAAGCCCCGGCUAACUUCGUGCCAGCAGCCGCGGUAAUACGAAGGGGGCUAGCGUUGUUCGGAUUUACUGGGCGUAAAGCGCACGUAGGCGGACUAUUAAGUCAGGGGUGAAAUCCCGGGGCUCAACCCCGGAACUGCCUUUGAUACUGGGAGUCUUGAGUUCGAGAGAGGUGAGUGGAAUUCCGAGUGUAGAGGUGAAAUUCGUAGAUAUUCGGAGGAACACCAGUGGCGAAGGCGGCUCACUGGCUCGAUACUGACGCUGAGGUGCGAAAGCGUGGGGAGCAAACAGGAUUAGAAACCCCGGUAGUCCC